GCCCAUGUAGCUCAGGCGGUAGAGCGUUUCCAUGGUAAGGAAGAGGUCACCAGUUCGAGUCUGGUCAUGGGCU
rnacentral:tRNA from 1 species